GCGUUGCCUAUUUUGUUGGUUUAUGGCGUCGCCGUAAUGAUUAAUAGGGACAGUUGGGGGCAUUAGUAUUCAAUUGUCAGAGGUGAAAUUCUUGGAUUUAUUGAAGACUAGCUACUGCGAAAGCAUUUGCCAAGGAUGUUUUCAUUAAUCAAGAACGAAAGUUAGGGGAUCGAAGACGAUUAGAUACCGUCGUAGUCUUAACCAUAAACUAUGCCGACUAGGGAUCGGGCGCGGUUCAAUGACUCGCUCGGCACCUUAAGAGAAAUCAAAGUUUUUGGGUUCUGGGGGGAGUAUGGUCGCAAGGCUGAAACUUAAAGGAAUUGACGGAAGGGCACCACCAGGAGUGGAGCCUGCGGCUUAAUUUGACUCAACACGGGGAAACUUACCAGGUCCAGACACAGUGAGGAUUGACAGAUUGAGAGCUCUUUCUUGAUUCUGUGAUUGGUGGUGCAUGGCCGUUCUUAGUUGGUGGAGUGAUUUGUCUGCCUAAUCGCGAUAACGAACGAGACCCUUACCUGCUAAAUAGUCGACCCGGCCUUGGCCGGGACCUUUUUGGGUCACGACUUCUUAGAGGGACUGGAGGCUGCAAGCCUCAGGAAGCCGGGGGCAAUAACAGGUCUGUGAUGCCCUUAGAUGUUCUGGGCCGCACGCGCGCUACACUGAUAAAGACAGCGAGUCUCGUUCCAAGGAACGGGUNCUUGGCCGGAAGGCCUGGGCAAUCUUGUUAACUUUAUCGUGCUGGGGAUAGAGCAUUGCAAUAAUNCCGCGGNCAUGGCGG
rnacentral:rRNA from 1 species